AUCCAGACGGCGCUGUAGCCGCAGCGGCAGGUUCCUCCGGGGGCAGCGUCCCAGGGAGCGUGUAGGAAUCCCGGCGGGUAGCUGGCUCCGCUGCGGCGCUGCACCCCAUGAGACAAAAGAAAAGAAGUUUCUGACUCACGGAAUUUAUAUGGGCACGAUCCUGAGAGUUGCUGAGCUCCCAUUGAAAUCAUGUGUCCGAUCCUUCACUCUUUGUAGUUGACAAAAGCAGGAUUGGACCCAUAGAUGACGUCACUAAUACUGUGCAGGAUUUUCUCUUUAUUGAAGAAG